AUUUGGUUUUAUGCAGGCUGUGUCAGUCACAGUCAGGGGAGGUGUGGCAAGUGCUGCAUAAACAGAAUGAAAAGUGACUUAACUCCUGAAUGGCAGUGAAUUGAGCAGUGAGACUGCAGUUGCAUGAUCUAUACACAAAAAAAGUUAACGUUUUCCUGGCUAAUCCAUGUCAGCAUCACUUAUGGGUUAUGCUCCUCCUUCUCAGCUGAUAGGACAGGAAUCUAAAUUAAAAUGAUAUAUAAGGGAGUCACCUCCCCCUAUUCUUUCACUUCCCCCAUUUAUAUUUUCCUGUCCUCCAGCUGUUGGGCAGCA